rnacentral:rRNA from 1 species
UACGGGGGGAGCAAGCGUUGUUCGGAUUUACUGGGCGUAAAGGGCGCGUAGGCGGUCAGCACAAGUCAGUUGUGAAAUCUCCGGGCUUAACUCGGAAAGGUCAACUGAUACUGUGUGACUAGAGUGCGGAAGGGGCAACUGGAAUUCUUGGUGUAGCGGUGAAAUGCGUAGAUAUCAAGAGGAACACCUGCGGCGAAGGCGGGUUGCUGGGCCGACACUGACGCUGAGGCGCGAAAGCCAGGGGAGCGAACGGG